rnacentral:rRNA from 1 species
AGUGAACGCUGGCGGCAUGCCUAAUACAUGCAAGUCGAACGGCAGCACAGUAAGAUCUUGCCCUUACGGGUGGCGAGUGGCGGACGGGUGAGGAAUACAUAGCAAUCUACUUUUUCGUGGGGGAUAACGUAGGGAAACUUACGCUAAUACCGCAUAUUUCCUACGGGUGAAAGCAAGGGAUCUUCGGACCUUGCGCGAUUGAUUGAGCCGGUGCCGGAUUAGCUAGUUGGCGUGGUAAAGGCCCACCAAGGCGACGAUCCGUAGCUGGUCUGAGAGGAUGAUCGGCCACACUGGAACUGAGACACGGUCCAGACUCCUACGGGAGGCAGCAGUAGGGAAUAUUGGGCAAUGGGCGAAAGCCUGAUGCAGCAAUGCCGCGUGAGUGAUGAAGGUCUUCGGAUUGUAAAACCCUUUUGUUAGGGAAGAACAGCUGCAGGAUUAAACCCCGCUGUUCUGACGGUACCUAAAGAGAAAGCACCGGCUAACUUCGUG